CCUACGGGUGGCUGCAGUGGGGAAUAUUGGACAAUGGGCGAAAGCCUGAUCCAGCCAUGCCGCGUGUGUGAAGAAGGCCUUCGGGUUGUAAAGCACUUUAAGCGGGGAGGAAGGCCUUGAGGAUAAUACCCUUGAGGAUUGACGUUACCCGCAGAAUAAGCACCGGCUAACUCUGUGCCAGCAGCCGCGGUAAUACAGAGGGUGCAAGCGUUAAUCGGAAUGCCUGUAGGUAGAGUGUUCAUUCGGGGGUGAAAUCCCCGGGCUCAACCUGGGCACGGCAUCCGAUACUGGCUGACUAGAGUGUGGGAGAGGAAGGUAGAAUUCCAGGUGUAGCGGUGAAAUGCGUAGAGAUCUGGAGGAAUACCGAUGGCGAAGGCAGCCUUCUGGCCUAACACUGACGCUGAGGUGCGAAAGCAUGGGGAGCAAACAGGAUUAGAUACCCCAGUAGUC
rnacentral:rRNA from 1 species